UACGUAGGGUGCGAGCGUUUGUCCGGAAUUAUUGGGCGUAAAGAGCUCGUAGGCGGUCUGUUGCGUCCGCUGUGAAAACUCGGGGCUUAACCCCGAGCCUGCAGUGGAUACGGGCAGACUAGAGGUAGGUAGGGGAGAAUGGAAUUCCCGGUGUAGCGGUGAAAUGCGCAGAUAUCAGGAGGAACACCGGUGGCGAAGGCGGGUCUCUGGGCAGUAACUGACGCUGAGGAGCGAAAGCGUGGGGAGCGAACAGG
rnacentral:rRNA from 1 species